rnacentral:rRNA from 1 species
CCGCGUUCAAGCGAGUAGGGAGAUCUCUUAGGUAAAUCCGGGGGGUCAAUUCCGAGACGCGAUAACGAGCUGUCAAGGCUUCGGUCUGACGGUGAAGUGGUUGAUGCCAUGCUUCCAGGAAAAGCCUCUAAGCUUCAGGUAACAAGGGACCGUACCCCAAACCGACACAGGUGGUCAGGUAGAGAAUACCAAGGCGCUUGAGAGAACUCGGGUGAAGGAACUAGGCAAAAUGGUACCGUAACUUCGGGAGAAGGUACGCCGCUUGGGGUGAUCGGACUUGCUCCGUGAGCUCCGGGCGGUCGAAGUGACCAGGUGGCUGCGACUGUUUAUUAAAAACACAGCACUCUGCAAACACGAAAGUGGACGUAUAGGGUGUGACGCCUGCCCGGUGCCGGAAGGUUAAUUGAUGGGGUCAGCCGCAAGGCGAAGCUCUUGAUCGAAGCCCCGGUAAACGGCGGCCGUAACGAUAACGGUCCUAAGGUAGCGAAAUUCCUUGUCGGGUAAGUUCCGACCUGCACGAAUGGCGUAACGAUGGCCACACUGUCUCCACCCGAGACUCAGUGAAAUUGAACUCGCUGUGAAGAUGCAGUGUACCCGCGGCUAGACGGAAAGACCCCGUGAACCUUUACUACAGCUUUGCACUGGACUCUGAAUCUGUUUGUGUAGGAUAGGUGGGAGGCUAUGAAGCCGGAACGCUAGUUCUGGUGGAGCCAACCUUGAAAUACCACCCUGACAUAUUUGGGGUUCUAACCCAGGCCCGUUAUCCGGGUCGGGGACAGUGUAUGGUGGGUAGUUUGACUGGGGCGGUCUCCUCCCAAAGAGUAACGGAGGAGCACGAAGGUACCCUCAGCGUGGUCGGAAAUCACGCUUUUGAGUGCAAAGGCAUAAGGGUGCUUGACUGCGAGAGCGACGGCUCGAGCAGGUGCGAAAGCAGGUCUUAGUGAUCCGGUGGUUCUGAAUGGAAGGGCCAUCGCUCAACGGAUAAAAGGUACUCCGGGGAUAACAGGCUGAUACCGCCCAAGAGUUCAUAUCGACGGCGGUGUUUGGCACCUCGAUGUCGGCUCAUCACAUCCUGGGGCUGAAGCCGGUCCCAAGGGUAUGGCUGUUCGCCAUUUAAAGUGGUACGCGAGCUGGGUUUAGAACGUCGUGAGACAGUUCGGUCCCUAUCUGCCGUGGGCGUUGGAGAUUUGAGGAAAGCUGCUCCUAGUACGAGAGGACCGGAGUGGACGAACCUCUGGUGUUCGGGUUGUCACGCCAGUGGCAUUGCCCGGUAGCUACGUUCGGACGGGAUAACCGCUGAAAGCAUCUAAGCGGGAAGCCUCUUCCAAGAUGAGAUCUCCCCGGGGACUCGAUCCCCCUGAAGGGUUGUUCAAGACCAG